UACGUAGGCGGCAAGCGUUAUCCGGAAUUAUUGGGCGUAAAGCGUCCGUAGGCGGUUUUUUAAGUCUGAUGUGAAAGCCCACGGCUCAACCGUGGAGGGGCAUUGGAAACUGGAAAGCUUGAGUGCAGAAGAGGAAAGUGGAAUUCCAUGUGUAGCGGUGAAAUGCGUAGAUAUAUGGAGGAACACCAGUGGCGAAGGCGACCUACUGGGCCGUAACUGACGCUGAGGUACGAAAGCGUGGGGAGCAAACAGG
rnacentral:rRNA from 1 species